GCUCAGCAGACGACGUAGUUCUUGUGCUCUUCCCGCCUCGCCUUUCUUUUCUUGGUUUCAAUCCCUGGUGUUGCAAGCCAAUUCCCGGGUCUUGUUAGGCGGGAAACACAGACUGCAUUACCCAUGUUUGAAACUGGAUUUGCGCGUUUGGGAAGCAAGAAUGGGGUUACUCUGCUGGAAAAGCUUGACAUUGCAAAUAAGGGAUUUUUACCCUACGGUUCCACAAGUUCCCACUAAGUAUCUGGUACGCGGAAGAGAGGGACAAGGAAGCACAGAAGCUCAGAACAGUUCGUUGUUCACCUCGUCUUUCUACCACAUAAUUCUGCCUCUAGAAAUACAGGAGAAAGAGUAGCCACGCAAAGCUUCUAGGAACUCCUGGGAGAAGCAUUCAUAAACUCUUAUUGCUGCCAGUUCAUCUUGGGGCCUUUCGGUGUGAAGAAAUGGAUCCUUAUCAAAUACUUUUGUGAAAGAACAUUUACAUCCUGCUUUAUUCCAGAAGAAAAGAUUUAAGUCACUUUGGUUACACAGGGAAAACCUGGAAGAGGGGAGAUACAGAAGAACCCAUACCUGCAUGGCCUGAAGACAGGCUAAAAGACUGAUGGGAGCUUGCGACCCUACAGAGUUGGAAGCGCUCUGCGCUCACAGGCCUGGGAGCUUAGUGCCCAGUGGCCAGGGACCCCCCCUAGGAUUCCUUUGUGGAUCAAAGGCAAAGAAAGAAGGGCUUCUGAAGGCCUGGCACAGCUACAAGGAUUCUCCUGAGAGUAUGGCACAUCUGUCUAGCACGUCAUGUUUCGGGGAAGCCUUUCCCAACGGUGUCAUGAGGCUGGCAGGGUGGGCAUUCUGUCCAUCAGCGAGGAGCAGAUGGAGAGCCAAAGAGGAUGAGUGAAUUGCCGACGCGCACGCCUGGUUCAGGAUCAGCAUCCAGGUCUCCUCAUUAAGUCCAAUGAGCUUUCAGCUCUGUCAUGCUGCCUCUUCUUCCCCAGAGGGCUUGGGAAACAUAAGCAACUGCCUACAGGAAAUAUGCUUCACCUUCCUCACAGACACGGCGUUCCAGAACCAGACUCCAUGGAAACAGAACACAGAGGGUGUGUACAUGCAUGUCUUCUAGACCCACUCCAGUUCUCAUCAGAAGCUGAUGAGCCACCCCACAGUUCACGGCGGGUCAGACCUAAUCCGUAUCCUCUUCAAAAUAGGCCAGAAAAAUGGAAUCACUGGAUAUCAGAAGAGAAAGGGAACCACAGAGUCUUGCUAGUCUAAUGCCUUUAUUUUAAGGAUGAAGAAAUAGCCUUUUGUUUUGUUUUUCAGAUUUAUUGAGAUAUAAUGUACAAAGUGGUAAGAUACUUAAAGUUACAACAUGAUUUUGAAACAACCUUGCCUUGUGAAAGGACUCCCCCAUCAUGUUAAUUACCCUGAUAAUCACUUCACAUAUUUACCUUUGUGUGUGUAUGUUUGAGAAUAUUUAAGUUCUACUCUCUCAGCAAAUUUCAAUUAUACAAAUACAGUGUUAUCAACUAUAGUCACCAUGUUAUACAGUAGAUCCUCAGACUUCAUUCAUCUUGUAACUAAAAGUUUACACAAUUUUGCUGACUUCUCCUAUUUCUCCUACCUCCAGUCCCUUCAACCAUUUUCUACACUCUGUUUCUUAGAGUUUUUUAAAGAUUUUACAUAUAAGUGAUACUAU
ensembl:lncRNA